rnacentral:rRNA from 1 species
CCUACGGGGGACAGCAGUGAGGAAUAUUGGUCAAUGGGCGCGAGCCUGAACCAGCCAAGUAGCGUGAAGGAUGACUGCCCUACGGGUUGUAAACUUCUUUUAUAAGGGAAUAAAGUGAGGCACGUGUGCCUUUUUGUCUGUACUUUAUGAAUAAGGAUCGGCUAACUCCGUGCCAGCAGCCGCGGUAAUACGGAGGAUCCGAGCGUUAUCCGGAUUUAUUGGGUUUAAAGGGAGCGUAGAUGGGUUGUUAAGUCAGUUGUGAAAGUUUGCGGCUCAACCCUAACAUUGCAAUUGAUACUGGCAGCCUUGAGUACAGGUGAGGUAUGCGGAAUUCGUGGUGUAGCGGUGAAAUGCUUAGAUAUCACGAAGAACUCCGAUUGCGAAGGCAGCUUACUAAACUGCCACUGACACUGAGGCUCGAAAGUGUGGGGAUCAAACAGGAUUAGAUACCCUUGUAGUC